GGCUGCCCUGCCCUCCAGCCAGACACACCAGGCUCUCAGCCCCAGCCCAUGGACCUGCGAGUGGGCCAAAGGCCCACAGUGGAGCCGCCACCAGAGCCUGCACUGCUGACCCUGCAGCACCCUCAGCGCCUGCACCGCCAUCUCUUCCUAGCAGGCUUGCAACAGCAACAGCGCUCAGCUGAGCCCAUGAGGCUCUCCAUGGACCCACCGCUGCCGGAGCUGCAGGGGGCACAGCAGGAGCAAGAACUUCGGCAACUUCUCAAUAAAGACAAGAGCAAGCGAAGUGCCGUAGCCAGCAGUGUGGUCAAGCAGAAACUGGCUGAAGUGAUCCUGAAG
rnacentral:lncRNA from 1 species